GGGUGAUAUGAGUGAUCUCAAGUUGAGAUGAUAUCUUGAGAACACUCUGUAUCACUCUC
rnacentral:miRNA from 1 species